rnacentral:lncRNA from 1 species
CUCAGGGGCUGGACAAUGAAGGAAAAGGCAGCCACAAGAUCCAUGUGCAGAUUCACACAGCAAAGUUCUGCCGUGUUUCAAACGGAAUACAGCUUAGCAGCUGCAGGGAAGAAAACCUAUUUUUAAUCACUGAGAAGCGUGGACACCGAUAGGAGCAGAAACCUCGGAUAUUGCUGGGUUCAGGAGCAGAGGGAAUACGGUAGACAGGACGGGGUCAGGUUCAGAGGGCCCUUUGAGCACCGGGGACUCGACACCUCCACCAAG